CGCAGGAUUCACAUCAGUUAGUCAUGGCUACAUCCCAAGCAAGCUUCUGUGGUGUUCCCAAACGCGGUGUCAACAGGGACCCUGGAAGGAGGGCCAUGAGCCAAAGCGCUAUCAGGGGCCACAUGUGUGAAGUCAGAUGGCCCACACCCAGAGCCACUUGCCACUGCAGCUGCAAGAAGAGUCAGUUGAUACCAUGAGGCUAUGAAGGCCUAAUACAAAGGUGAGAAAAGAAAUAUAAGAAUGCCUGUACCAUAUAGUAAUACAUCCAUACCCAUGGUGUCCCAGGAGAGAAAAAAAAUGUUACAACUCAAAACAGUAGCCUCAGAAAGACUUCCUGCACUUCCAGAACUUUCUGAUGAUAACUCUAUAAGGAGGAGGUGGAAGAUAUUUGGCUGUGUUCUCCUGCCUCCAUUCUGUUUCCUCCAUUAGAACAUGAGCUUCUUCAUUGUUCUUGUCUCAAAAUCUAUGGAAGAGAUAAAGAGGCUUUUUUUCACCAGGCCAUUUCAUUUUACCCUGAAAACUUACAGCAAAAUUACAUGAUCCUGGCUUGUGAUGACAACAAACCAAACCAAACAAAACCCAACACACUGAAAGUCAGUUGCAACAAGUAAGAAAGGAAGUAUUGGAGCUCUCAUAGCCUCGCCUAGAAUUGGGCUUUUCCAGGAACCCAUCCUGUGAUGUGAACAUUGAUCAAUAC
rnacentral:lncRNA from 1 species